rnacentral:rRNA from 1 species
UACGUAGGGUGCAAGCGUUGUCCGGAAUUAUUGGGCGUAAAGAGCUCGUAGGCGGUUUGUUGCGUCGGCUGUGAAAUCCCGAGGCUCAACCUCGGGUCUGCAGUCGAUACGAGCAAACUAGAGUGUUGCAGGGGAGACUGGAAUUCCUGGUGUAGCGGUGAAAUGCGCAGAUAUCAGGAAGAACACCCGUGGCGAAGGCGGCUCUCUGGGACGGUACUGACGCUGAGGAGCGAAAGCGUGGGGAGCGAACAGG